AAGCGCGCAGGGUGCCCCGGCUCCGGAGCAUAAACAAGAGCGGGCACGGGAUGAGGCGGCGGUUGAUCCCCGGGCAGCCAGCUGCGGCCAGCGAGGCGGCGAGCGGGGCCCGGCGCCGACCCUGAGCGCACCCGACACGCCCCCCCGCGCGCGAGCCCCCGGCCGCGCCCUCCCGCCGCGCGCCCAUCAUGAACCUGGCGAGUCAGAGCGGCGAGGCCGGCGCCGGCCAGCUGCUCUUCGCCAACUUCAACCAGGACAACACGUCCCUAGCUGUUGGUAGUAAGUCCGGUUAUAAAUUUUUCUCCCUUUCUUCUGUGGAUAAGCUGGAACAGAUCUAUGAAUGCACUGAUACUGAAGAUGUGUGCAUUGUAGAAAGAUUGUUUUCAAGCAGCUUAGUGGCCAUCGUUAGCCUCAAAGCUCCUAGGAAGCUCAAAGUUUGCCACUUUAAGAAAGGAACCGAGAUCUGUAACUACAGCUACUCGAAUACCAUCCUGGCUGUGAAGCUGAACAGGCAGCGGCUAAUAGUAUGCCUGGAGGAGUCUCUCUAUAUACACAACAUUCGGGACAUGAAAGUCCUGCACACGAUUAGGGAGACCCCUCCCAACCCUGCAGGCCUCUGUGCACUGUCCAUACACAACGACAAUGGUUACUUGGCGUACCCAGGCAGUGCCACCAUCGGGGAGGUGCAGGUCUUCGACACUAUGAACUUGAGAGCUGCGAAUAUGAUCCCGGCUCACGACAGUCCUUUGGCAGCGCUGGCGUUUGACUCCAGCGGAACCAAGCUCGCCACUGCCUCGGAGAAGGGGACCGUGAUUAGGGUAUUCUCCAUUCCAGAGGGACAAAAACUCUUUGAGUUCCGGAGAGGAGUUAAGAGGUGUGUGAGCAUCUGCUCCUUGGCCUUCAGCAUGGACAGCAUGUUCCUCUCCGCAUCCAGCAACACUGAGACUGUGCACAUCUUCAAACUCGAGACUGUGAAAGAAAAACCUCAGGAGGAGCCCACCACCUGGACCGGGUACUUCGGGAAGGUACUCAUGGCUUCCACCAGCUACUUGCCCUCCCAAGUAACAGAAAUGUUCAACCAGGGCAGAGCCUUUGCCACAGUCCGCCUGCCUUUCUGCGGCCACAAGAACAUCUGCUCGCUGGCCACAAUUCAGAAGAUUCCCCGGCUCCUGGUGGGAGCUUCCGAUGGGUACUUGUACAUGUACAACCUGGACCCCCAGGAGGGAGGCGAGUGCACCCUGAUGAAACAGCACAAUCUGAACACGGAAGAUCAUCUCCGUGGGUGUAACUUCUUCCCAAGUACAAAUCAGGUUGGAUGGCAGCAUGGAGACGACCAAUGAAAUCUUAGACUCAGCCUCUCACGACUGCCCGUUAGUGACCCAGGCCUACAGCACGGCUGUCGCCACAGGUACUCACGUGCCUUCGUCUCCGACCAGACUUGCCUACACAGACGAGCUGGGAGCAGUGGGCGGCACAUGUCUGGAAGAGGAGGCCAGCGCUCUGCGGCUGGAGGAGGACAGUGAGCAUCCUCCUAUGAUUCUUCGGACUGACUGAACUUGACCUGUGAACUCUGACCCCCAAAGCAGGGAACACUGGCUUGAUGGAGGACUUUGUGUUAUGCUGCUAUGAACUUUGACCCGAGCUGGAGAGAGGAUGGCAGAGACUUUAAAAAAAAAAAAAAAAAAAAAAAAAGAUUGUAGCUGUAGUCUCAUUCCAUACUGUUGAGAAAUACAUCGUUUUCACUUCAGUGGCUUUUAAUCCUGCUUAGGAAUCUUAGCUUUUUGUUUUCUCUUUUUGCCAAAAUUAACUGUUUGGUGAAGCCCUUGAAACCUUGCUUUGCAUGCAUUAACGUGCCAAGCCAGAGUAGGAGAACUAGAAGCCACUUUAUGACAAUGGCAGUUGUUGGGUUUUUAAAAUCUGUAUAGAAUGAGGAGUGCACACGAGGAGGUGGCAUCGUGCAGAGUGGUCUAGGUGUCAAGGCGGGUUCUGCUCGGGCGGGUCCAAGAGCCCUCUCUGGGCUUGCCAGGCUUGGGGGCAUCAGCCGUGGGGAGGAGAACUCUCUCCCCAGAGCCCCCCAUGGGCCCUUUUCCCCCAUUUUAUUUUGUUAAUUAAAUUCUUUCCAAAUUGGAUUAUUCUGGGA